rnacentral:rRNA from 1 species
CGAAAGCCUGACGGAGCAAGACCGCGUGAGGGAGGACGGCCUUCGGGUUGUAAACCACUUUUCUCAGGGAAGAAGGACUGACGGUACCUGAGGAAUAAGCCUCGGCUAACUCCGUGCCAGCAGCCGCGGUAAGACGGAGGAGGCAAGCGUUAUCCGGAAUUAUUGGGCGUAAAGCGUCCGCAGGUGGCGAUUCAAGUCUGCUGUCAAAGCACGGGGCUUAACUCCGUUAAGGCAGUGGAAACUGAAUGGCUAGAGUGCCGUAGGGGUAGAGGGAAUUCCCGGUGUAGCGGUGAAAUGCGUAGAGAUUGGGAAGAACACCAGUGGCGAAGGCGCUCUACUGGGCUGCAACUGACGCUGAGGGACGAAAGCUAGGGGAGCG